UGGGGAAUAUUGGACAAUGGGCGCAAGCCUGAUCCAGCAAUGCCGCGUGUGUGAAGAAGGCCUUCGGGUUGUAAAGCACUUUUGUCCGGAAAGAAAUCCUCUGGGUUAAUACCUCGGGGGGAUGACGGUACCGGAAGAAUAAGCACCGGCUAACUACGUGCCAGCAGCCGCGGUAAUACGUAGGGUGCAAGCGUUAAUCGGAAUUACUGGGCGUAAAGCGUGCGCAGGCGGUUUUGUAAGACGGAUGUGAAAUCCCCGGGCUUAACCUGGGAACUGCAUUCGUGACUGCAAGGCUAGAGUAUGGCAGAGGGGGGUAGAAUUCCACGUGUGANCAGUGAAAUGCGUAGAGAUGUGGAGGAAUACCGAUGGCGAAGGCAGCCCCCUGGGCCAAUACUGACGCUCAUGCACGAAAGCGUGGGGAGCAAAACAGGAUUAGAUACCCUGGUAGUCCACGCCCUAAACGAUGUCAACUAGUUGUUGGGGAUUCAUUUCUUAGUAACGUAGCUAACGCGUGAAGUUGACCGCCUGGGGAGUACGGUCG
rnacentral:rRNA from 1 species